CUUUUUUUUUAAUUAAUCAGGAGCUAUAUUUAUACUAUAUUUACAUUUGGUUAGCCAGCACCCAGGUACUUUGCUGAUGAAAAAAGAAAUUACCUUACUAGAUUCAUUUUGAGACUUAACAUAAGACAGGCAAAAGAAAAUACAACAGCACGGCUAUUUUUUUCAAAAUGGCCUUUCAGGGGCUGGUGAGAUGGCUCAGUGGGUAAGAGCACCCAACUGCUCUUCCGAAGGUCCAGAGUUCAAAUCCCACAACCACAUGGUGGCUCACAACCAUCUGUAACAAGAUCUGAUGCCCUCUUCUGGAGUGUCUGAAGACAGCGCUACAGUGUACUUACAUAUAAUAAAUAAAUCUUAAAAAAAAAAAAAAAAGAGCUUUUCGCCGCCGGACGCUGCCGAGGUCGCACGCGUGAGGUCUGUCCCCCGCAGCCGACAUGCGCUACGUCGCCUCUUACCUGCUGGCCGCCCUCGGGGGCAACUCCUCUCCUAGCGCCAAAGACAUCAAGAAAAUACUAGGCAGCGUGGGCAUCGAAGCGGACGAUGAUCGGCUCAACAAGGUCAUCAGUGAGCUGAAUGGAAAGAACAUUGAGGAUGUCAUUGCUCAGGGUGUUGGCAAGCUGGCCAGUGUGCCUGCUGGUGGGGCUGUGGCUGUUUCUGCUGCCCCUGGCUCUGCAGCACCUGCUGCUGGUUCUGCCCCCGCUGCAGCAGAGGAGAAGAAAGAUGAGAAGAAGGAGGAGUCCGAGGAGUCGGAUGACGACAUGGGAUUUGGCUUGUUUGAUUAAAUUCCUGCUCCCCUGCAAAUAAAGUCUUUUUAUGUAUCUUGAAAAAAAAAAAA